GGCAACAGCUCAAAUUUGAAUCUGGCUUCGGCCCGAGUUGUAAUUUGCAGAGGAAGCUUUAGGCGCGGCACCUCCUGAGUCCCCUGGAACGGGGCGCCACAGAGGGUGAGAGCCCCGUAUAGUUGGAUGCCUAGCCUGUGUAAAGCUCCUUCGACGAGUCGAGUAGUUUGGGAAUGCUGCUCAAAAUGGGAGGUAAAUUUCUUCUAAAGCUAAAUACCGGCCAGAGACCGAUAGCGCACAAGUAGAGUGAUCGAAAGAUGAAAAGCACUUUGAAAAGAGGGUUAAAUAGCACGUGAAAUUGUUGAAAGGGAAGCGCUUGUGACCAGACUUGCGCCGGGCUGAUCAUCCGGUGUUCUCACCGGUGCACUCUGCCCGGCUCAGGCCAGCAUCGGUUCUCGCGGGGGGAUAAAGGCCCUGGGAACGUAGCUCCUCCGGGAGUGUUAUAGCCCGGGGCGUAAUGCCCUCGCGGGGACCGAGGUUCGCGCUCUGCAAGGAUGCUGGCGUAAUGGUCAUCAGCGACCC
rnacentral:rRNA from 1 species